rnacentral:rRNA from 1 species
GCUUCUCUGAUGUUAGCGGCGGACGGGUGAGUAACACGUGGAUAACCUACCUAUAAGACUGGGAUAACUUCGGGAAACCGGAGCUAAUACCGGAUAAUAUUUUGAACCGCAUGGUUCAAAAGUGAAAGACGGUCUUGCUGUCACUUAUAGAUGGAUCCGCGCUGCAUUAGCUAGUUGGUAAGGUAACGGCUUACCAAGGCAACGAUGCAUAGUCGACCUGAGAGGGUGAUCGGCCACACUGGAACUGAGACACGGUCCAGACUCCUACGGGAGGCAGCAGUAGGGAAUCUUCCGCAAUGGGCGAAAGCCUGACGGAGCAACGCCGCGUGAGUGAUGAAGGUCUUCGGAUCGUAAAACUCUGUUAUUAGGGAAGAACAUAUGUGUAAGUAACUGUGCACAUCUUGACGGUACCUAAUCAGAAAGCCACGGCUAACUACGUGCCAGCAGCCGCGGUAAUACGUAGGUGGCAAGCGUUAUCCGGAAUUAUUGGGCGUAAAGCGCGCGUAGGCGGUUUUUUAAGUCUGAUGUGAAAGCCCACGGCUCAACCGUGGAGGGUCAUUGGAAACUGGAAAACUUGAGUGCAGAAGAGGAAAGUGGAAUUCCAUGUGUAGCGGUGAAAUGCGCAGAGAUAUGGAGGAACACCAGUGGCGAAGGCGACUUUCUGGUCUGUAACUGACGCUGAUGUGCGAAAGCGUGGGGAUCAAACAGGAUUAGAUACCCUGGUAGUCCACGCCGUAAACGAUGAGUGCUAAGUGUUAGGGGGUUUCCGCCCCUUAGUGCUGC